rnacentral:rRNA from 1 species
GAUGAACGCUGGCGGCGUGCCUAACACAUGCAAGUCGAGUGAUUUACUUCGGUAAAGAGCGGCGGACGGGUGAGUAACGCGUGGGUAACCUGCCCUGUACACACGGAUAACAUACCGAAAGGUAUGCUAAUACGAGAUAAUAUGCUUUUAUCGCAUGGUAGAAGUAUCAAAGCUUUUGCGGUACAGGAUGGACCCGCGUCUGAUUAGCUAGUUGGUGAGGUAACGGCUCACCAAGGCGACGAUCAGUAGCCGACCUGAGAGGGUGAUCGGCCACAUUGGAACUGAGACACGGUCCAAACUCCUACGGGAGGCAGCAGUGGGGAAUAUUGCACAAUGGGCGAAAGCCUGAUGCAGCAACGCCGCGUGAGCGAUGAAGGCCUUCGGGUCGUAAAGCUCUGUCCUCAAGGAAGAUAAUGACGGUACUUGAGGAGGAAGCCCCGGCUAACUACGUG